UACGUAGGGUGCGAGCGUUGUCCGGAAUUAUUGGGCGUAAAGGGCUCGUAGGCGGUUUGUCGCGUCGGGUGUGAAAACUCAGGGCUUAACCCUGAGCCUGCUUCCGAUACGGGCAGACUAGAGGUAUGCAGGGGAGAACGGAAUUCCUGGUGUAGCGGUGAAAUGCGCAGAUAUCAGGAGGAACACCGGUGGCGAAGGCGGUUCUCUGGACAUUGCCUGACGCUGAGGAGCGAAAGUGUGGGGAGCGAACAGG
rnacentral:rRNA from 1 species